GCUGCGUCUGACGUAACAGCGUAGCCAUUUCUGUAUUUGACGCAGUGCACGUAUAAGUACUUAGCGUCGCGAGCUGUGAGAAGGAAAACAAUCUAAAAUUUGUGAAGAUUUAUGAUGCUUUGUUAACUAAGAAAGCUUAUUUCGUUCAGUUCUGCAUCCUGUCCAUCACUGCAGUCCUGAGGGUUGCCAUUUUAUAACUGUAAGCGGACCUACACUCAUCCAGAGGCUCUGAACAACCACCUGAAGGAUCAUCACAAGACCCCUGCACAGUCCCUGCCUGUCCUGGGUUUUGCCUGUAAAGACUGCAUUUGUUAUUAAAAAGGAUAAACCAAUAUGAAGACCAGAGAGCUGUCUAUGGAAGAAAAGCAAGACAUUGUGAAGCUGAAAAAAGAGGGAAAAUCGAUCAGAGCCAUUGCACAGACAUUGGGCAUAGCCAAUACAACGAUUUGGAAUGUCCUGAAAAAGCAAGCAACCACCGGCGUACUAACAACCAGACAUCGAACAGGUCGGCCAAGGAAAACAACAGCAGUCGAUGACAGAAACAUUGUGCGAGCUGUGAAGAAAAACCCACAAACUACAGUCAGUGACAUCACCAACAACCUCCACAGGGCAGGGGUGCAAGUAUCACAAUCCACCGUGCGAAGAAGACUUCGAGAGCAGAAAUAUCGAUUCCAUUACAUAAGUUGCAAACCACUCAUCAGCAGUAAAAAACGGAAGGACGGAUUGGAAUUCGCAAAGAAUACAGAGAUGAGAGAUGAGGAUUUAAAAGAAGAGCAGUUUGUUGAAUUGUGGCAGCAGACAGAUUGUGUCUAUAACGUCUCAUCAGACUUGUAUCAGGACAGGACGAAAACAGACACGACAUGGAAAGAAACAGAAGAUGGAUUACAGGGUGUGUAGCCAGCUAACUGGCACGCAAACGCUCUUUACAUCAAGUUUAUUUCCUGUAAUCACUACAUGAAACUAUGUUUAUGCUUUCCAUCAUUCCAGUAUGGCAGAACAUAGUAACUAUCUUCACACUAACUUGUUUAAUCUGACAUGAAGAACACAUGUUAUUGCACAGUCUGUUACAGUAUUCGUAUUCUUGUACUGCGUGACAUGUAAAUAUUGUAGAAGACUGCUGGAACUGCACAGUUUUGUGCAUAAACUAAUGAAUAAAUUAGUCUGUAAUGCAUAAAACUUAGUUUGUGGAAGUAAUAAUGAACAUUAAAAGCAACAUGUUAAACACUUUGUGAAACGUUAAAAGUGUUCUUCUCUUAACUUGUGCUGAAGCUUUAACUCUCUACCAUAAUGUACAAUAUAUAAGAGCAUUUCAGUGUAGAAGGGAGAGAUUCUCUGUUACUAGAUGACUACAGACUACUACUACUACUAAUAAUAAUAAAGGAUUGUGUUGAA